CCUGCCAAGUAUCAGCCAUAGCGGCGCGCCGCGCGCGGAACCUAGUGGCGCCAGCGCUGGCCUGCUGCUCCUCUCUCUCCCCUCUCUCCAAUUUCCUGCCUCCGCCACCCUCCCCUCGCUCCGCGGCCCUCGUACAGCGACCCCGGCCGUCCUCGGCUCCGGCGACCUGAAGGUACCUGAUCGGCGGCCCUCGCUUGACUCGGCCCCGGCGACCUCGACGUCACCACCCUUCUCCGGCGACCACACCACCUCGCCCUGCUCCAACGACCGAGCCACGCCCUGCUCCGUGGUCGACUUCAACCACUUCGCUGUAGCAUUUCAUCAACACCGCCACCACCAUCUCGGAGGAAUUCCUGUCCAGCGCUGACAAGGAUGGGAAGCAGCACUGACAAAUCCUUUCAUAAGGUUCACAGGAUGGCAGUUUAAGUUUGUUGAAGGUUUGGUAUCACUUCUGCUCCAGGUAGGACAUCUUUGAGCAGGACACCAUGCACAAAAGGUUUGGUACUAAUUGCUUGAAAAAAUCCUGCUUUUUGCAGCACCAUCCUGUUGAGCCAUGAGAUUUGAACCAAUGAAUUCAGAUAACAUCUACCAUGUUUAUGGAUCACUACAUGUUCCAUUGGAAGUGGAACAAUGUGAGAUUCCUUUUUCAGUAAUCAUCUGAACACAGGUUUGCUACUUAAUUCUCAAAGAAAUCGUGCUUUCGCAUCACCAUCCUGUGGAACCACGAGGCCUGAUCCAAUUAUUUCAGAGAACAUGUACUAUGUUUAUGGAUCACUACAUGUUCUGGUGGAACAAGGGUUUGCUAAGGUUCUAUUUUAAUCAUACGAUGAGCAUGGGGUCCACAACAUACUCACAUAGUUACAAAUCUGAAGCACUGGUUAGUUUGUUGGCUAGCAGUAUGAAUCAGAACUGGGUACUUUUAUCUGUUACGAAUAAUUUAAAUAUAUUUUUAGUGAUCUUGUGUG